rnacentral:tRNA from 1 species
GGGCUAUUAGUUCAGCGGUAGAACGCACCCCUGAUAAGGGUGAGGUCACUAGUUCAAGUCUAGUAUAGCCCA